GAAGAGAGUAAGUCUCCUCAUUUCAACACUUGUGGAAACUUACAGUGGGCAAGGUGGAAAUCAAGUAGCUUCAUUCUGAAUCAACUCCAACUGUGUGGAGUUAACAGAGUGUUCCUUCAUUUCUAAAUGGUACUUCAAUUGAAAAAAAAAAAAUCCUGGGGAAACCAUCCCCACUGAGUUUGUCAGUGGUGUAGAGAAGUGGGUGCAGCUAAAUCGGGAUUGGAUAAGAGCUCUGCCUGAAAUGAAGGUAUACAACCCAGAAGACCGCGGGAGUGACCUGAGCAAGGGAGGGACUUGAAAACAUGGGGAAGAUAAAGAUACAG